GAUCAUGGCUCAGAACGAACGCUGGCGGCAGGUCUUAGGCAUGCAAGUCGAACGGAUGACAAGGGAGCUUGCUUCCUUGAAGUCAGUGGCGCACGAGUGAGUAACGCGUGGGAAACUGCCCUUCACUGGGGAAUAACGUUUGGAAACGAACGCUAAUACCGCAUACGCCCGCAAGGGGAAAGAUUUAUCGGUGAUGGAUGUGCCCGCGUUGGAUUAGCUAGUUGGUGGGGUAAUGGCCUACCAAGGCGAUGAUCCAUAGCUGGUCUGAGAGGACGAUCAGCCACGCUGGAACUGAGACACGGUCCAGACUCCUACGGGAGGCAGCAGCUAAGAAUAUUGGGCAAUGGAGGAAACUCUGACCCAGCCAAUGCCGCGUGAAUGAAGAAGGCCUUCGGGUUGUAAAGUUCUUUUAGUCAUGAAGAUGAUGACAGUAGUGACAGAAAAAGCACCGGCUAACUUCGUGCCAGCCGCUGC
rnacentral:rRNA from 1 species